GGUGAACGCUGGCGGCGUGCUUAACACAUGCAAGUCGAACGGGAAUUACUUUAUUGAAACUUCGGUCGAUUUAAUUUAAUUCUAGUGGCGGACGGGUGAGUAACGCGUGGGUAACCUGCCUUAUACAGGGGGAUAACAGUCAGAAAUGGCUGCUAAUACCGCAUAAGCGCACAGAGCUGCAUGGCUCAGUGUGAAAAACUCCGGUGGUAUAAGAUGGACCCGCGUUGGAUUAGCUUGUUGGUGGGGUAACGGCCCACCAAGGCGACGAUCCAUAGCCGGCCUGAGAGGGUGAACGGCCACAUUGGGACUGAGACACGGCCCAGACUCCUACGGGAGGCAGCAGUGGGGAAUAUUGCACAAUGGGGGAAACCCUGAUGCAGCGACGCCGCGUGAAGGAAGAAGUAUCUCGGUAUGUAAACUUCUAUCAGCAGGGAAGAUAGUGACGGU
rnacentral:rRNA from 1 species